AUGAAUUGCAUAAGUUGGAACUGCCGGGGGCUUGGGAACCCCGCGGCAGUUCGAGAGCUUCGCAGCAUAGUGAAGCAAGAAGGUCCUGCCCUUGUGUUUGUCAUGGAAACCAAAAUAAGGGCGAAAAAAGUGGAGAAUCGGCGAAAUACUUUGGGAUUUGCACGAUGUUUUGCCGUCGACAGUAACGGUCUCAGCGGUGGUGUGGGGCUGUUC
rnacentral:rRNA from 1 species